GAUAGGAGCUGAAGGCUGACACGGGGUCGAUCUAAUUUCAACUAAUCAUUUUCGCCGGCAAGGAAGACUGAUCGGGCAGGCAUAGGUGCAAAAGCGAUUCUAGGAAGAUCGAGUAAGAAUCCGCAGGGGUUAUGCGGAGAUAGGGCUUUGCCCAAGGUUUUCUCCCGAAAUGACCCGAAUAACAGCUUUUUCAAGAUCUUCGCACAGAAGACUUUUCCCUUCGGGGGAGGAAGAAGAGGAUAAGGAAGGUGAAUCAGAACUAACUCUUUUUUACCGGAAUCCCUAUCCUAUAAUAGUAAUAGGCUGGGGCUACUUUCCACAGAAAGGGAAGCGGAAUGGGAUUCAUG
rnacentral:misc_RNA from 1 species